GAUCAUGGCUCAGGAUGAACGCUGGCGGCGUGCCUAACACAUUCAAGUCGAACGAACUGUAGAAAUACAGUGAGUGGCGGACGGGUGAGUAACGCGUAAGCAAUCUGCCUUUGUGUGUGGAAUAACAACCGGAAACAGUUGCUAAUACCGCAUAACGCAUAGGAGUCGCAUGGCUCUUAUGCCAAAGAUUUAUCGCACGAAGAUGAGCUUGCGUCCGAUUAGAUAGUUGGCGGGGUAACGGCCCACCAAGUCUACGAUCGGUAGCCGGACUGAGAGGUUGAACGGCCACAUUGGAACUGAGAUACGGUCCAGACUCCUACGGGAGGCAGCAGUGGGGAAUAUUGGGCAAUGGACGAAAGUCUGAACCCCCAGCGACGCCGCGUGAGGGAAGAAGGUCUUCGGAUUGUAAACCUUAGUCAACAGGGACGAAGCAAGUGACGGUACCUGUGGAGGAAGCCACGGCUAACUACGUGCCAGCCGCAGC
rnacentral:rRNA from 1 species